rnacentral:RNase_P_RNA from 1 species
GCGGAUGGCUGGAUGACCGCGGGGCGAAUGCUUCGAGGAAAGUCCGGACUCCAUGAAGGAAGGGUGCCGGGUAACGCCCGGCGGGGGUAACCCCAGGGAAAGCGCCACAGAGAAGAGUCUGCUUUGGUGUCAGCGGUUUACCGAGGACGUAUCCAGAGUGAUGGUGAAACGGUGGGGUAAGAGCCCACCACGGUCUUGGCAACAAGAACGGUAUGGCAAGCCCCACCCGGAGCAAUGCCGAAUAGGGGCCUCGCGUGGUAAGGUCCGCCAUGCGCCUUCGGGCGGCGGAGACCACCACAGGGAUCUUCAGCCCAGAGGCUCGGGUUGGCAGCUUGACCGCCGUGGUAACACGGUCGGCAGAGGAAUGGUCAUCCAAGAGGGCAACCUCGGGACAAAAUCCGGCUUAUAGGCCAUCCGCGCAA